ACGAACGCUGGCGGCGUGCUUAACACAUGCAAGUCGAACGGAAAGGCCCUGCUUUUUUGGGGUGCUCUAUUGGCGAACGGGUGAGUAACACGUGAGUAACCUGCCCUUUACUUUUGGAUAACUUCUGGAAACUGGGGCUACUACCGGAUAGGAGCUUCUUCUGCCUGGUGGGGGUUGGAUAGUUUCGGCUGUUGGGGAUUGUCUCGCGGCUUAUCAGCUUGUUUGUGUGGUAGUGUCUUACCAAAGCUUUGCCGGGUAGCCGGCCUGAGAGGGUGACCGGGCACAAGGGGACUGAGAAACGGCCCAGACGCCAACGGGAGGCAGAAGUGGGGAAUAUUGCACAAUGGGGGGAAGACUGAUGCAGCAACGCAGCGAGCGGGAAGACGGGCUACGGGGUGUAAACAGAUGUGGCAUGUGACGAAGAGUGAGUGACGGUAAUGGGUAAAGAAGCACCGGCUAACUACGUG
rnacentral:rRNA from 1 species